rnacentral:rRNA from 1 species
CCUACGGGAGGCUGCAGUGAGGAAUAUUGGUCAAUGGCCGGAAGGCUGAACCAGCCAUGCCGCGUGAAGGUCAGUGCCCUUUGGGCGUUAAACUUCUUUUGUGCGGGAGCAAUAAUGGUCACGUGUGGCCAGACGAGAGUACCGUACGAAUAAGCAUCGGCUAACUCCGUGCCAGCCGCCGCGGUAAUACGGGGGAUGCAAGCGUUAAUCGGAAUUACUGGGGGUAAAGCGCCCGUAGGCGGUAUGUCAAGUCAAGGGUGAAAGCCCCGCGCUCAACGUGGGAACGGCCUAUGAAACUGGCAAACUGGAGUGUGUGAGAGGAUAGUGGAAUUCCAGGUGUAGGAGUGAAAUCCGUAGAUAUCUGGAGGAACAUCAGUGGCGAAGGCGACUAUCUGGCACAUAACUGACGCUGAGGAGCGAAAGCGAGGGUAGCAAACAGGAUUAGAUACCCGAAUAGUC